GACGAACGCUGGCGGCGUGCCUAAUACAUGCAAGUUGAGCGCUGAAGGUUGGUACUUGUACCGACUGGAUGAGCAGCGAACGGGUGAGUAACGCGUGGGGAAUCUGCCUUUGAGCGGGGGACAACAUUUGGAAACGAAUGCUAAUACCGCAUAAAAACUUUAAACACAAGUUUUAAGUUUGAAAGAUGCAAUUGCAUCACUCAAAGAUGAUCCCGCGUUGUAUUAGCUAGUUGGUGAGGUAAAGGCUCACCAAGGCGAUGAUACAUAGCCGACCUGAGAGGGUGAUCGGCCACAUUGGGACUGAGACACGGCCCAAACUCCUACGGGAGGCAGCAGUAGGGAAUCUUCGGCAAUGGACGAAAGUCUGACCGAGAAACGCCGCGUGAGUGAAGAAGGUUUUCGGAUCGUAAAACUCUGUUGGUAGAGAAGAACGUUGGUGAGAGUGGAAAGCUCAUCAAGUGACGGUAACUACCCAGAAAGGGACGGCUAACUACGUG
rnacentral:rRNA from 1 species